AGAUUCUGAAUGCUAUCCCAUCAUGCCUGUGUGCCUGUCUGCACUGUGCCUAGCUGCAAGGGAUGCUAGAAAGGCAGACCAUAAGCAAUCCAGAACUAAGGUUUCAGUGACUGUGGAAGAUGGAACAAGGACAACUAACAAUGUUUGACACUCUCAUGACACAGCAUAGGUGACCGGCUGCAGACAUAUUCAGUAAAGGACAGAGCAUCAGGUUUUCUUAGUGUGCCUUACACAAUGCAGCAUCACUUGAGUGGUGGAAGACAAAUGGACCACAUCUCUUACCUAAAAGGUUCCAGGGAUUUCCCAGACCUGCUUCUGUAUUACAAGUCAAGCUGCAUUGGGAGCAUUAUGAAAUAAAAUAUGGGGAGGUGUGAGGCACUAACGCAUCCCUGUAUAAAUGAACAUUCAUGACAUGAGCGUGGCCAUGUCAAGGACUCUAAUGCCUCAGACUCAUGAGAAUGGUAAGGCU